rnacentral:lncRNA from 1 species
CUCUGUAGAGAGAGAACUGUGCCAUUUUGUGUACAUGACACAAGCCACUAAAGGAAGGAAAUAGAAAUACAACGCCAAAAAAAUUGAACCAGGAAGAAAUAUCUUAUUUUCUAAUUUCAAUCUUUUGAAGUAGUGCUAAAUUAAGUGGUGAAUUCCUUUGUGACAUGAGAGACAAGUAGCCUCCAUGAAAAUACCGCAAACUCUUAGUUUUGCCGAAAGACUGGAUAUUGGCAGCUGUGGAUCUUCUCCCACCUCAUUAUCUACCCAAAUCUCCUAGUGAGGAGAAACUGUCCUGAAUCAGGAGCAAGGACAGGCUCAAAGGAAGCCCGACUUUUAG